rnacentral:rRNA from 1 species
AUAUCAAUAAGCGGAGGAAAAGAAACUAACAAGGAUUCCCCUAGUAACGGCGAGUGAAGCGGGAAGAGCUCAAAUUUGAAAUCUGGUAGCCUUCGGUUGCCCGAGUUGUAAUCUAGAGAAGUGUUUUCCGUGCCGGCCCAUGUACAAGUCCCUUGGAACAGGGCGUCAUAGAGGGUGAGAAUCCCGUCCUUGACAUGGACCCCCGGUGCUUUGUGAUACACUUUCAACGAGUCGAGUUGUUUGGGAAUGCAGCUCAAAAUGGGUGGUGAAUUCCAUCUAAAGCUAAAUAUUGGCGAGAGACCGAUAGCGAACAAGUACCGUGAGGGAAAGAUGAAAAGCACUUUGGAAAGAGAGUUAAACAGUACGUGAAAUUGUUGAAAGGGAAACGAUUGAAGUCAGUCAUGCUCUUGGGACUUACCUCCCUUGAGUGGGGUCAACAUCAGUUUUGAUCGAUGGAUAAAGGCACGGGGAAGGUAGCACUCUCGGGUGAACUUAUAGCCUCGCGUCAUAUACAUUGAUUGGGACUGAGGAACGCAGCAUGCCUUAUGGCCGGGAUUCGUCCACGUACAUGCUUAGGAUGUUGACAUAAUGGCUUUAAACGAC